GAUGAACGCUAGCGGGAGGCUUAACACAUGCAAGUCGAGGGGCAGCAUAGGGUAGCAAUACUCUGAUGGCGACCGGCAAACGGGUGAGUAACGCGUAUGCAACCUACCCUGUACGAGGGGGAUAACCCGGAGAAAUUCGGACUAAUAUCCCGUAAUAAUAUCCGGAGGCAUCUUUGGAUAUUUAAAGUUCCGACGGUACGGGAUGGGCAUGCGUAACAUUAACUGGUUGGUAAGGUAACGGCUUACCAAGGCUAUGAUGUUUAGGGGUCCUGAGAGGGUGGUCCCCCACACUGGUACUGAGACACGGACCAGACUCCUACGGGAGGCAGCAGUGAGGAAUAUUGGUCAAUGGGCGCAAGCCUGAACCAGCCAUCCCGCGUGCAGGAAGACGGCCCUAUGGGUUGUAAACUGCUUUUCCAGGGAGAGAAACUUACGCACGUGUUGCGUGACUGACGGUACCCUGGGAAUAAGCAUCGGCUAACUCCGUG
rnacentral:rRNA from 1 species